UGGGGCGUAGGGGGGGGGGGACCUGGCCGGAUGGUUGGGCAGCAGGGCUUUUCCCCGGGCCGAGGAACCACAUACUAAAUUCUCCCCGGGUGAUCCACCAGCGCAUUUGGAGGCCCAAGAGACAGGGGCAGCCCCGCCCUUUACGCGGGUGAGGCUUCCACGCCUGGUGAGGUCAGGGAGAAAACCCUCGUCGCUUGGUCUCGCGAACGAGAGGUGGCGGCGACCAGAUCGAGAACUCCUCCGCCGUCCAGCGCUCCGCCCUUCUUCGUCCAACGCUCCACUGUCCCCCGGCCCUCCUCCGGCAACCGGAAGCGGCGCACCCCCCAUCUCCCUCCACCUCUACACUCCGCGCCUCUGGCGGGGGCGACGGCGACCGAGGUAUGUCUCAAUGCAUGCGAGAGCUUUAAGUAUAACCAUCCAAGCACAACGGUAUGUCUCAGUGCUUUGUUAUCUUGAUAAGUGAUCUCUCUUGUUUAAUGAAUAUAAUUUAUCUUCUGUUUUUUGGACGUAGGUUUGUAAUGAAAAAGUAGAGGAUUUUUUUUCUUUUCUAAUGGAAUGGUCUGUCCUAUGCGACAAGUACGUCCAUAAAAAUAAUGGUGAUGCCUCAACUAGUUUGUUCGAGGAUGAAGGGGAAGACCAUGAACCUAGAAAAAGCAAGCAUGUCGUAGAGAAACUUAGUGCGAUCUGCUAUGGUGGCGCUCACAGAAAAAAAAUGCAUAUACUUUAAGAGACAAAUGAAAUGUGGCAGGGAGGGUGUCUAAAGGAAAUGGCCAUGCUUUAACUAUGGAAAGAGAAGGCUUGGAAUUUCAUUUUGGAGGGUUUUUUAUAUUGAUUGUUCUUGUUCAGGGAUGCAGAUGGAAAAGCACGAAGCCUCGCUUCAGGACAAAGCGGCGUGGGGAGCUGCGACGCAUCGCUUGGGGCUGAUCCUUCCGGUUGAGGCCUCGAAUGCUGAACGGCGUGGUUCCCAAAGAUUGAAGCAAACAUGGAUGAAAUUCACUGUGGCGUCCUGUAGGUUGUUUGGUCGUUUAAGCUUUCCUCGUGCUUCCGCUGAGCUGUAGGACUGGGUAACCAUGUUGGCUUUACCCUGAGAACCUGAAUGUUUAUGAACCUUUGUUCCAUUGCAUCAUUGGCUGCAUGGAACAAGGAGUUCUGCUCCUAUCUUCCUAAAAAGGGGAUACAGCUAAGUGGAAACCGAUGGGUUUGCUUACCCAGGGUGUCCAACUGUCGGAUCAGCCGGACAAGAUCUCGUGGCUUUGGACAGCUGAUGGCUCUUACACGGCGGCAUCUGCGUACAAGAUUCAGUUCAUGGGAAGUACAUCCUCAAACCUGGAGGAGCUCAUCUGGAAAACUCCAGUACCGGCAAAGCAGAAGCUCUCGGCUUGGAUGUGUAUUUCAAGAUCGCUGUCUGACAGCGGAUAAGCUCGCCAAGAGGGGCUGGCAGCAUAAAUGGUCUGCGGCGAUUACCCUGGUUUGUUGGUUCAUUUGGACUGUGCGGAUCUUUGAUGGGGUGGCCUGCAGCGCUGCUCGGGUAAUGUGCGAGAGUGAGGAAGAACUGUCGGAAUGGGGAAGCGCCCGGAUCAGCGGUGCGCUAUUACUGUCGCAUAUUCAUCCAUGAUGCACACAAUAUGGUCUGAUUGCCUGAGAAGAUGCCGUUGAAAGGAGCUACUCAGAGUUAGGUGGAAACCUCCGUGAGCUCCUACUCAAUGCUACUAGUGUUUCCUUGAUUAGCCUUUAGCCUAGGUUUUUCCCCAUGUUGAGCUAUGUCAUGUAUCUCUGUAACAUUUCUUCUCCCCUAAUAUAAUGAAAGCAGAGCUGCUGCUCUUCGUAAAAAAAGAAGGGAGUUUGCUUGACUGAAUUCAGUGGAUCAUGAUGUUUCAAGUUGCAUAUCCUUUCCUUAGAAAAUGGAAUGAUAAAUGCGAUGGAGAUGACCAGUUUGUGUGAUGGAAAAGGACCCUUUAUGAAUCUGCAGAUGGCAUAGCAUCUUUGACACAUGAAAUUGGUGUUGCAUUUUCUUAAUUCCAAGUAUGUGGAAGCUGAAGGCCAAUCAGAACUUCACCGUUGUUCAGAUUAUUUUCAGUCUGUGGGCAGUUUCCUAUUUUCAAAAAUCUUGUUCCAUGCUGUAAUGAUUCCCAAUAGGCACCAGUGAUGAAU